GAGAUGGAGUUGGUGCCUUCGGGAACUCUGACACAGGUGCUGCAUGGCUGUCGUCAGCUCGUGUCGUGAGAUGUUGGGUUAAGUCCCGCAACGAGCGCAACCCUUGCCUUUAGUUGCCAGCAGUUCGGCUGGGCACUCUAAAGGGACUGCCGGUGUUAAACCGGAGGAAGGUGGGGAUGACGUCAAGUCCUCAUGGCCUUUAUGACCAGGGCUACACACGUACUACAAUGGCCGAUACAAAGGGCAGCGACACUGCGAGGUGAAGCCAAUCCCGUAAAAUCGGUCUCAGUCCGGAUUGGAGUCUGCAACUCGACUCCAUGAAGUUGGAAUCGCUAGUAAUCGUGGAUCAGCAUGCCACGGUGAAUACGUUCCCGGGCCUU
rnacentral:rRNA from 1 species